rnacentral:rRNA from 1 species
UACGUAGGGAGCAAGCGUUGUCCGGAAUCAUUGGGCGUAAAGCGCGCGUAGGUGGCCUCAUAAGUCCGCUGUGAAAGUCAAAGGCUCAACCUUUGAAAGCCGGUGGAUACUGUGAGGCUAGAGUACGGAAGAGGCGAGUGGAAUUCCUGGUGUAGCGGUGGAAUGCGCAGAUAUCGAGGAGGAACAAGCCAUAGGCGAAAGCAUGCGUUUCUAGG